UAAUUCAAAAUACUAAAAGACAUCAUAUUGUGAAAUAAAAAAUGGGGGUAACCAAUGUGAUCUCCAAGACGCUGGCAAAAUAAUGUCAAGUUGUUUAUAAUUACUUAUGUAUCAGUAGCCAAAUGCAUAAUCGAGUUUGGCCGAUUGCUAUAUGCUUCGUUGUAAGAUGCCUGAAACAUGCAGAUAUUUUGUUAUAUUGUUAUUAAAACAUUUUGAAUUCAAAAUACUGUAUAAUGUGCAGACUCCCAUUGCACUGUUGCUGCAUGUCAAUAUUUGAAAUUAAUCAAUGUAUAAAAAUACUUGAAAUUAAUCAAUGUAUAAUAAUUAGGUAAGAAACUGAAGAGGACACUUUGAAUAUUGUAAUAUUUAAAAAACACCUGAUGUAAAUCUAUGUAAAUACUCUUUGGUUCCAAGUUGUUGCAACAAGUUUGGAACAAGC
rnacentral:lncRNA from 1 species